UGGGGGAAUAUUGGGCAAUGGGCGCAAGCCUGACCCAGCAACGCCGCGUGAGGGAAGAAGGUUUUCGGAUUGUAAACCUCUGUCGCAGAAGACGAAGGAAGUGACGGUAAUCUGUGAGGAGGCCCCGGCUAACUACGUGCCAGCAGCCGCGGUAAUACGUAGGGGGCGAGCGUUGUCCGGAAUUACUGGGCGUAAAGGGAGCGUAGGCGGUUAAUUAAGUUAGAUGUGAAAUACCCGGGCUUAACUUGGGGGGUGCAUCUAAUACUGGUAAACUAGAGUACAGGAGAGGAAAGCGGAAUUCCUAGUGUAGCGGUGAAAUGCAUAGAUAUUAGGAGGAACACCAGUGGCGAAGGCGGCCAACUGGGCUUUUACUGACGCUGAGGCACGAAAGCGUGGGGAGCAAACAGGAUUAGAUACCCUGGUAGU
rnacentral:rRNA from 1 species